UAAUCUACAAAAAACGGAAUGUUCCUGCCAGCUUCAAACCCAUUAACGGAUUGACGAAACUACAAUGGAAUCUCUGCAUCGAAAUCGUAUUUGUGCAUGAUCCGGCCUGUUCCGGCAAUUUAAUCCCGCAAACCAGGAUGUGGAAAGUGUGCAACCGGUGGAUCGUGAUGAAGUGUGAUAAUCUGGACAGCAUAGUGGAAGAUUUUUGGAAUCGUGUGAGUACUAUUUCCACCGACUGUUGGUACUGUUUGCCCGUCAAGUGCCAGAAUCUUAUUCUGGAUGGAAGUACAAGUCCAUUACUCGGAGCACGAUUGGAUGAUAGUGAUGAACCAGUAAGAUCGAUUUGAAUUUGUGUUGUUGGCCAUCUCCAAGCAUCUGUGUUGUUUUAAAUACGAAUGAAUAAAUUAUUGGUCGUAAUCUUUAA